rnacentral:lncRNA from 1 species
UAUGUUUUCUUUUAAUAAACUUUGUUUGAUUUACAUUAACACAAUGCAAUUUUAUACUUGUAAAUAUUGUUAAAUUUUGAGGUUUUUUGUACAAAUUAUGAGUUGUAUGGAAAAAUGGGCAUUUUCAUUUAUUUCUAUAUAAUGUUUGAUGUUAGAUUUUGUUGUAUCCAAUGGAAUGUGAAAUAUGAAAGGUUAUUUCUCAUACAGGAUUUCAUCAUAUUGUGGAAAAACUUGUACUUAACUUUUUGGUGAAUGGUACUUUUCUUUAAAAAGAAUAUAGCAUCAGCAUUAUAUCGUAGAUUAAAAUGGUUACCACAUUGAUCUGGUGAUAACAUGGCUGAGGUUUAAAAGUCUAUAAAAUGGUGAUUUUAUUUUAAAUCCUUGUUACUAUUGACGGCAAGUGAUAAUACUCUAAAUGUUGGUCAUAUAUAUGUAUCAAAUCACCAUAAUCAUCACCAUUUACUCUCAAAUAUCACUUUUAAAAAUAUCCUAUUAUGAGUCCUUGUUGUAUGUCAAAACUUAGUGCUUCUGUUUAAAUGAAAUCCAGAUCUUAUUAACUACAUGUACAUAUAUUACCUUAUCUUAUAUUACCAAGUACUAGAAAAAUUUGAAAUGUUAAUACCACUUUCAAUAUCUGGUCAUUUUAGGCUUUAAUUGUUAAAAAAAAUGCGAUACAUUCAAAUUUUUAUUUGAGUUAUCGAUACCCUCAGGAACCUAUAUAUUAAUGUGCAUAUGUGCAAUUUGUAUGCAUGACUUAAAUGCUCAAAUUGAAACAUUCCAUUUUUGACAAUCAAUAUUUUAGCAAAAUAAUAAUAGUCUAUAUAGCUAAGACACACUAUGUAAAUUUGUUGUACAUGAAUGUACAUGUAUAAUGUAUAUAUUUAUGAUAUCCAGACAGUAUUGAAGUUUGAAGAGAUUAUGAUAUAUAUAUAUAUUGAACAAGGCUAAAAUAGAAACAUUUAGAUGCAUAUAACAAUUUAAAAUAUAUCUAUAGCUAUAAGUUUUAUGAUAAAAGACAAGUUUGAAAGAUCAGGUUAAAAGAAAUGAAACCCAUCACUUACAUUUGCAUCAUUUGGUCUGGUGUUUGAUUGUCUUCUCAAUGGCAAUUUUACCUUUUUUCAAAUAUCCUUAUUUUUAUGAUGGUCACCCUCUUAAUGUUGUCAUCUUUCAUAGGCUUUACAAAGUGCAGUGUUUACAUAACAUUCAAACAAGGGUUUGUCUGAUAUCCAUUGGCUCAUAAGGUAUAAACAUUGUCAUGAAAUCUUAGAUCAUGUGAUUAAGGUUGUGUGAUUAUCUUAUAAAUAUUGUAAAAGUUAUUUUGAUUUGUAGUAGAUUUACAAAAUUAUAUUUUUUCUAUGCAAUACUCAUGCUUGUUUCUUUACCGCUUUUAAGUUUUCUGAUGCAAUUUGUUUUUUGUUUGAAGUGUUUUUUAUAUCAAUGUCAUUAUGAAUGUUGAAGAAAUCCUUUGUAUUUAUUCCUAAUUACUCAAAUUGUUGUUAAUGUAAAGGUCAAAAACAAGUACUUUCAAAUCUCUGUAUACAGCCAUUAAUUUAAGUCCAAAGAAUAUUUCUCCUCCUGAAAAAAUUUUUAAUAGCAGUCCUCCAAAAAUCAUUUUAACCUUGAAAUUUGGAGUGAAAUGAACUUAUGCUACUAUUGAUCUGAGUAUUUUUAUGGAUAUUUCCAAGUGGAAUAUUAAUAAGAAUAUUACAUGUACAUUUAAUUGGCCUUUCAGUUGUUCAGAUACUUGUCAUAAGUGCUAUAUUGAAUUCCAUUACAAUGCAACUAUUUAUAUUUUGUUGUGAUUAUGUCAACCAGAUCCUAGACAGUUUAUUUGUCAUGCUUUGAUUGAAUGUAUAUACUUGUAUAUCUAUAUCCUUAAUUUAUUUACCAUAAUCGUUAUCCAUUGUAUAUAUAUAAGUUUUGAUCUACCCAGCUUAACUGUAUUUAUAGAGCAAUAGGCUAUUUGCCAAUUACUGAUUUGAUUCUGUUAUUACACACGUUUUAAACAAAUUACUUCCCUUUGUCAAUCAUAGACUGGCUCCAUACCGGACAAAUUUGGCUUUUGUGAUGUAUCGGCGGUAUAUAUAACUAAUUUUUCAUAAAAAAUAAUUUCUGAUGUCAAAAGUAUUUAGAUUAACAACAAAUUAAUAUAAUUAAAAGUUUUGAAAACCGUAAAGAUUACUCACAUUACGCAGAGGUAAAUUUGAUCGUUCUGCUAGCUCUCUAUUAUAAAUGGAAAUAAAUGUCCCCUGUAAGGGAGACAACUGAAAGAUGGAUCUCUAAUUACAGGGUCAAUAACGGGAAUUGGCAAAGAGCCUAUUGGAGCAAUUCUUUUGUUUUUCACGAUGCCUCAAUAAAUUCUUUGAAACUUUUCACUGAUUAGAUAUGUUAACCAGUAAAUUCAAUGAUUCUUCCAUUUUACAUCCCUUUUUCAUUCUCUUUAUUUAUAUAGCAUGUUUAGGCCACGUUAAUCUUACAUUUUGACUCAAAAUAAUGACCUUCACAUUAUCCUAAGUAUUGCAUGUUUUUGAACUGAUCUCAAUUCCGUUAAUUCAGGAUUUUUGUGUUUUAUUUUUAUUGAACAAAGGACAAUAAUUGAAUUCUUAAUUACAGUUACAAUUUACUGUAUUCAAAUGAUGCUUUCAAAUUUACUCAUGUCUGGUCAUAUUUUUGCUUAAACUAUCCUCUUAAAAUUUUAACAAUAAUGAAAACCAUAACUAUUUCUGAUUAAAGAGUAUUUUUGACUUUAUCUAAAUUGAAAUUUCAUCAGCAAUUGCUAUGGUACUGAGACAUAGCACUUACAUAAUGUAUUUAAAGGAUGUGUUCAUUCAUAAUUGCACCCAGUAGUUUAUAGCAUGUCAUUUUCAUUGUAACUACAGUUUAAAUGGCCAGCUUUGCACAAUCUUAAAUGAUAGUUGCCCAAAGAAAAAUUGUUUUGUUUUGUUUUAAUUUUGACAUUUGUUUGCAGUUGAGUGUCACUUUAGAUAUUUGUUUUUAAACAAGAUUUAGGUAACUGGCGUUAUUCUUAUGAUUUUUUAAUAAUUUUUUAACAACUCUGGCAUCAUUUAAUCAGCAUUGAAGUAUACUUCUGAAGGUCAGACCUUCUAGCAGCUUGGUUUUAUGUCAAUUUAAGGAGAUUAGGAAUUAGCAGAGCAACAAAUCAUGUUUUAACUUAUAAAAUCAUUCAAAAUUCCUCUGAAUACCUGCCAACUUUUUAAAUGGGUGAUUUUAAGCCAAAGAGGACAUAAAACCUCUAAUGACAUGUCAUAAGUGUUCUAAAUUCUGCUUCAAGGUAGUACCCAACACCUUCACUAAAACUAAUUUGGCUCGUUUAAUUUUCAUAAAAUUUUGACAAAGUAUUUACUUUGACCCUUUGACAAAAAUAUAAAAAUUUCAAAAAAUUUGAACAAACCAUUUUAUUAGAAAAAUUACACUGGUUAUAUAGCAGUUUGACAAACACUAAUUUUGAUCAUUGAGAAGUUUAAUAUUCCCUUAACAGCACAAUGUAAUUAAAACGUUUAGCUGAUUUUACAGAGUUAUCUCCCUGUAGUGUUAGGUACCACCUUAAACUACUUGGAGUUCCUUUUUUGCACAAAUAUUUAGUAAUAAGUCAACACCUCUUAUUGGGUAAAUCCCUCAUAAAUUCUGAAAGUUGGCACAGCCACACUUUUGGUACUGUUAGGUCUGCAUUUGUCUUAUGAUGCUGUUAACAGAAAUCAAUGACGUACCAGUGGCAUCAAAAGCCAGUUGCACAGAUGAUUUCAAUAAUGCCACUCACGUUGUAGUAUUUGAUGUAAUUUUUAAUGUAAUUAUUUCCAUCUGUUUUAUUUUUGUCCAGUUAUUAUUUGAUAAAUAUUGCUUGCUAAUGAUACUUUAAAAGAAGGCAAAAAUAAUGACACAGAUAAUGAUGUUGAUAAUUUGAAUGAGAAAUUAAUGAUAUACUAUGGCCAAACCAUAGCAUUGAUGAUUUCUACUAUUUUUUACAAAUUUAACAAAAGAUUCAGAAAUACAACUAUAAAAUCACUAUUUGAUACAUAUUUUUAUUUGUAUGCCCAAUCAGAUAUAAUAAGAUAAAUAUAACAUUCAAAUAAUGUAUUCAAAUUAAGCAGAAAUUAAUGACACAUACAUAAAAUGAUGUUGAUAAUUUCAAUGAGAAAUUAAUGAUUUAUUAUGGCCAAACCAUAGCAUUGAUGAUUUCAAUAAUAAUUUUGUUGUAAUAAAAAAAAAUCAGAGGAUUGGCAAAAUAACGAGAAAAUCACUUAACACAUUAGAAAAACAAGGUCACAUUAAGAUUUAAAACAUAUCUUUUCUAUCCAAACUAAUAUGUUCAAAACAAGGUUUAACUAGAUGCUGGCUUUUCACAUUUUCAGCAUUUAAAAGAGCCUCCUUAAGUCAGCUAUAUUAAAACAAUUCAGCUAUGCUUACAGCUAUCACAACAUGCAUGACUUAUAGUAAGAGCUGUCUCAUUGGCACUCGUACCACAUCUUCUUAUAUCUGAUAAGUUGGAUUUUUUAAAAUGAUAUCAGGUAUGCACAUGUUACAUAGUUUAAAUCAUUUCAUCUAACCUAACCUCAGAUAUUCCAAAAUUCUACUUAAGCAGUUUUGGUUCCAACACUUAACAUUUUUUUUAAAUAGCUCUUAAUGUAAGAAAAUUGGUGAACAUCUGCAUAGUUUAUGUUUUAAAGAAUAAGUCUAGUUGAAAACCAGAUAGGGAUUAAUGAAACUAUGACAUCAACUCAGAAUAUUUAUAUUUUUUUUUAAACUCUCAUUUACUCAGGCUUCAACUGCAAAAUUAUGAAAUCCAAGUUUUUGUAAUUUAGGAAAUGGUGUAUAUUGUUUCAAAAUAAACCAAUUAAUUUCAUUUAGAAUGUCAUAUAAGUGAAAUUUGUUUGUGUCUUCUUCCCUGUGGUUGUAGAUAUGACCUGGAAACCAAAGGAGAGAUAAGGUACAAAAUGUUGACCUUUUCAUUCAGAGUUAAAUAGACUACUGAUUAACGGUAGUUGAACUCAAAACCACUGCCGCAUCACAAUAGUGUUGGUCAAUCAUGUUGUAGGAUUUUUUUUAAUUUUCUAAUUUUUGUGCAAACACUGACUAUAUUUCAUUGUCUAUUAAAUUAUGCAAGAUAUUUUUAGAUAUUUAUUUGAGUAAGAAUUUAUGCAUGUUCAGAUAUUUUCUUUGACUAUUUUACAACUCAUAGCAUUUACUUAUGUAUUGUGCAUGUGUUUAUUAAGGAAAAAUAUAUUGUUACAUGCUAUAUAUUUAUUUCAUGCAAGAGAUAUUUUCCAUUCUGAGGGAAAUUAAUAAACAUAUUUUG